GGGUGGUUAGCUCAGCGGCAGAGCAUCUCGUUUACACCGAGGGGGUCAACAGUUCAAUCCUGUUACCACCUA
rnacentral:tRNA from 1 species